rnacentral:rRNA from 1 species
ACCUGAAAUCAAGCAAGAUCACCCGCUGAACUUAAGCAUAUCAGUAAGCGGAGGAAAAGAAACUAACAAGGAUUGCCUUAGUAGUGGCGAAUGAACCGGCAAUAGCUCAAAGUGUAAAUCUGAGGCAUCAAGUCUUAGAAUUGUAAUCUAUAGGCCUUUUAGGGAAGCCAUGGUUCUAGCAUAAGUUCCCUGAAAAGGGAUGCCAAAGAGGGUAAAAGCCCCGUAUUUGGUUAGGACUGGGUGUACCGAAGGGUUCCAAGAGUCGGGUUGUUUGGGAUUGCAGCCUAAAAUGGGAGAUAAACUUCUUCUAAAGCUAAAUAUUUAUGGGAAACCGAUAGCAAACAAGUACUACGAAGGAAAGAUGAAAAGAACUUUGAAAAGAGGGUUAAAAGACUUGAAAUCGUUGAGGAGAAAAGCGGUAGAAGAGAAAUGAUUUCAUUUAGAAGUAUGUAGUUUUGUAGGCGUCUUCUGUGGUAAUGGUACUUCAUAGGGCCUAGCUAUAGACCGGCGUCGCAUUGCUGCUUUUUCUGGAUGAAGUGCAAAAUGAGGUCUCGCUUGCGGAAACGUCUCUAGGGAAGACUCUGGCCUCGACGCUAGAAGCCCUGGUCUCCAA